rnacentral:rRNA from 1 species
GACGAACGCUGGCGGCGUGCUUAACACAUGCAAGUCGAACGGAAAGGCCCUGCUUUGUGGGGUGCUCGAGUGGCGAACGGUGAGUAACACGUGAGUAACCUGCCCUUGACUUUGGGAUAACUUCAGGAAACUGGGGCUAAUACCGGAUAGGAGCUCCUGCUGCAUGGUGGGGUUGGAAAGUUUCGGCGGUUGGGAUGGACUCGCGGCUUAUCAGCUUGUUGGUGGGGUAGUGGCUUACCAAGGCUUUGACGGUAGCCGGCCUGAGAGGGUGACCGGCCACAUUGGGACUGAGAUACGGCCCAGACUCCUACGGGAGGCAGCAGUGGGGAAUAUUGCACAAUGGGCGGAAGCCUGAUGCAGCAACGCCGCGUGCGGGAUGACGGCCUCGGUGUAAACCGCUUUCGCCUGUGACGAAGCGUGAGUGACGGUAAUGGGUAAAGAAGGACACCGGCUAACUACGUGCCAGCAGCCGCGGU